rnacentral:rRNA from 1 species
AGAGUUUGAUCAUGGCUCAGGAUAAACGCUGGCGGCGUGCCUAACACAUGCAAGUCGAGCGAUCUUCUUCGGAAGAGAGCGGCGGACGGGUGAGUAACGCGUGGGUAACCUGCCUCAUACACAUGGAUAACAUACCGAAAGGUAUGCUAAUACAAGAUGAUAUAAGAGAUUCGCAUGGAUUUCUUAUCAAAGUUCCGGCGGUAUGAGAUGGACCCGCGUCUGAUUAGCUAGUCGGUAAGGUAACGGCUUACCAAGGCGACGAUCAGUAGCCGACCUGAGAGGGUGAUCGGCCACAUUGGAACUGAGACACGGUCCAAACUCCUACGGGAGGCAGCAGUGGGGAAUAUUGCACAAUGGGCGAAAGCCUGAUGCAGCAACGCCGCGUGAGCGAUGAAGGCCUUCGGGUCGUAAAGCUCUGUCCUCAAGGAAGAUAAUGACGGUACUUGAGGAGGAAGCCCCGGCUAACUACGUGCCAGCAGCCGCGGUAAUACGUAGGGGGCUAGCGUUAUCCGGAUUUACUGGGCGUAAAGGGUGCGUAGGUGGUUUCUUAAGUCAGGAGUGAAAGGCUACGGCUCAACCGUAGUAAGCUCUUGAAACUGGGAAACUUGAGUGCAGGAGAGGAAAGUGGAAUUCCUAGUGUAGCGGUGAAAUGCGUAGAUAUUAGGAGGAACACCAGUAGCGAAGGCGGCUUUCUGGACUGUAACUGACACUGAGGCACGAAAGCGUGGGGAGCAAACAGGAUUAGAUACCCUGGUAGUCCACGCCGUAAACGAUGAGUACUAGGUGUCGGGGGUUACCCCCCUCGGUGCCGCAGCUAACGCAUUAAGUACUCCGCCUGGGGAGUACGCUCGCAAGAGUGAAACUCAAAGGAAUUGACGG